rnacentral:rRNA from 1 species
CUACGGGCUGCUCCAGUGGGGAAUAUUGCACAAUGGGCGCAAGCCUGAUGCAGCAACGCCGCGUAAGGGACGACGGCCUUCGGGUUGUAAACCUCUUUUAGCAGGGAAGAAGCGAAAGUGACGGUACCUGCAGAAAAAGCACCGGCUAACUACGUGCCAGCAGCCGCGGUAAUACGUAGGGUGCAAGCGUUGUCCGGAAUUAUUGGACGUAAAGAGGUCGUAGGCGGUUUGUCGCGUCUGCUGUGAAAAUCCGAGGCUCAACCUCGGACCUGCAGUGGGUACGGGCAAACCAGAGUGCGGUAGGGGAGAUUGGAAUUCCUGGUGUAGCGGUGGAAUGCGCAGAUAUCAGGAGGAACACCAAUGGCGAAGGCAGAUCUCUGGGCCGUAACUGACGCUGAGGAGCGAAAGCGUGGGAGCGAACAGGAUUAGAUACCCCCGUAGUC